rnacentral:rRNA from 1 species
UACGAACCGUCCAAACGUUACUCGGAAUCACUGGGCUUAAAGGGUGCGUAGGCCGCGCGGAGGUGGGAUGUGAAAUCCCCCGGCUCAACCGGGGAAUAGCGUCCCAAACCGCCGUGCUCGAGGGAGACAGAGGUGAGCGGAACUGAUGGUGGAGCGGUGAAAUGCGUUGAUAUCAUCAGGAACACCAGUGGCGAAAGCGGCUCACUGGGUCUUUCCUAACGCUGAGGCACGAAAGCUAGGGGAGCGAACGGG